rnacentral:rRNA from 1 species
GAUUAGGGUUUGAUCCUGGCUCAGGAUGAACACUAGCGGCAGGCCUAACACAUGCAAGUCGAACGGUAACAUAGAUUGCUUGCAAUCUGAUGACGAGUGGCGCACGGGUGCGUAACGCGUAUGCAAUCUACCUUUUACAGGAGAAUAGCCCAGAGAAAUUUGGAAUAAUGCUCCAUAAUAUCAUGUAUCAGCAUUGAUUUAUGAUUAAAGCUCCGGCGGUAAAAGAUGAGCAUGCGUUCUAUUAGCUAGUAGGUGAGGUAACGGCUCACCUAGGCUACGAUAGAUAGGGGCCCUGAGAGGGGGAUCCCCCACACUGGUACUGAGACACGGACCAGACUCCUACGGGAGGCAGCAGUGAGGAAUAUUGGACAAUGGGCGCAAGCCUGAUCCAGCCAUGCCGCGUGCAGGAAGACGGUCCUAUGGAUUGUAAACUGCUUUUGUACAGGAAGAAACACUCGUACGUGUACGAGCUUGACGGUACUGUAAGAAUAAGGAUCGGCUAACUCCGUGC